UGUUCACAAGCUAUUGAUAAACGGCUUCAGACAUGAACACAAAAAUAUCGAGUUUUUAUCUCGUAUUUAUUAUUUUGGCUUUGGUCAGUAUGGACCUAUUCUUUGCCAAAACUUUAAAUUGUGAGACGUUGUGCAAGAAAACUGGCCACAGUGGAAAAAUAGGAGGCUGUCGAUGUGGCUACGAAAUUUUUGCCAAACGUUCGAAUGAUAACCUACGACCUGUUUGGGAUUGGAAAAUGUUAGAAGAUCUUUCGAGCGAUCACGAAUGGCCAUAUAGAAAAUGAAUUUCUUAAAUUUCUGAUAUUUAUCUUUGCAUUCUCGGAAAUACUAAACGUUUCUUAUAAUUAUUUACUGGAAAACUUUUCUUAAAAAAAAAAUAAGAAAAAUUAAUGUUUUAUUAAUAUAAAUUUAUGUAUAAUUUUAAAUUUAAAAUAUAUUUUAAUCGAAUAUUAUUGUUAUUUGUUAUUAUUCUAUGAGGAAAAUAAUAAUCAAGAAUUGAAGAAUGGAAAAGUUUAUUGUGAAAUGAAUAAAAAAAAAA